CGGAGGAAAANNAACCAACCGGGAUUGCCUCAGUAACGGCGAGUGAAGCGGCAAGAGCUCAAAUUUGAAAUCUGGCCCCCUCGGGGUCCGAGUUGUAAUUUGCAGAGGAUGCUUCGGGUGCGGCCCCCGUCUAAGUGCCCUGGAACGGGCCGUCAUAGAGGGUGAGAAUCCCGUCUGGGACGGGGUGUCCGCGUCCGUGUGAAGCUCCUUCGACGAGUCGAGUUGUUUGGGAAUGCAGCUCUAAAUGGGUGGUAAAUUUCAUCUAAAGCUAAAUACUGGCCGGAGACCGAUAGCGCACAAGUAGAGUGAUCGAAAGAUGAAAAGCACUUUGAAAAGAGAGUUAAAAAGCACGUGAAAUUGUUGAAAGGGAAGCGCUUGCGACCAGACUCGCCCGCGGGGUUCAGCCGGCAUUCGUGCCGGUGUACUUCCCCGCGGGCGGGCCAGCGUCGGUUUGGGCGGCCGGUCAAAGGCCCCCGGAAUGUAGCACCCUUCGGGGUGCCUUAUAGCCGGGGGUGCAAUGCGGCCAGCCUGGACCGAGGAACGCGCUUCGGCACGGACGCUGGCAUAAUGGUCGUAAACGACCCGUCUUGAAACACGGACCAAGGAGUCUAACAUCUACGCGAGUGUUCGGGUGUCAAACCCGUGCGCGCAGUGAAAGCGAACGGAGGUGGGAGCCCCCCCGCGGGGCGCACCAUCGACCGAUCCUGAUGUCUUCGGAUGGAUUUGAGUAAGAGCGUAAAUGUGGGGACCCGAAAGAUGGUGAACUAUGCCUGAAUAGGGCGAAGCCAGAGGAAACUCUGGUGGAGGCUCGCAGCGGUUCUGACGUGCAAAUCGAUCGUCAAAUUUGGGUAUAGGGGCGAAAGACUAAUCGAACCAUCUGGUAG
rnacentral:rRNA from 1 species